CCAAAGGAGAGAAUCCUGAGGCGCUCGGAUGAAUCACGGUUAAGGAACUCGGCAAAUUAGCCCCGUAACUUCGGGAAAAGGGGCGCCAGCAGCAAUGCUGGCCGCAGAAAAAUGGCUCAGGCGACUGUUUAUCAAAAACACAGGGCUCUGCAAAAUCGCAAGAUGAAGUAUAGGGCCUGACACCUGCCCGGUGCCGGAAGGUUAAGAGGAGAGGUUAGCGCAAGCGAAGCUUUGAAUCGAAGCCCCGGUAAACGGCGGCCGUAACAAUAACGGUCCUAAGGUAGCGAAAUUCCUUGUCGGGUAAGUUCCGACCUGCACGAAUGGUGUAACGAUCUGAGCACUGUCUCAACCGUGAGUCCGGUGAAAUUGUAGUAUCGGUGAAGAUGCCGGUUACCCGCUACGGGACGGAAAGACCCCGUGAACCUUCACUAUAGCUUUACAUUGACAUUUGACAAAAGAUGUGUAGGAUAGGUGGGAGGCUUCGAAGCGGUUUCGCCAGGAAUCGUGGAGCCACCGUUGAAAUACCACCCUUCGUUUGUCGGGUGUCUAACGUCGCGGUGCGACAGACAGUGUAUGGCGGGUAGUUUGACUGGGGUGGUCGCCUCCAAAAAAGUAUCGGAGGCUUCCAAAGGUACCCUCAGCACGCUUGGUAACCGUGCGCAGAGUGCAAUGGCAUAAGGGUGCUUGACUGCGAGACCAACAAGUCGAGCAGGGACGAAAGUCGGGCAUAGUGAUCCGGCGGUUCCGUAUGGAAGGGCCGUCGCUCAAAGGAUAAAAGGUACUCCGGGGAUAACAGGCUGAUCACUCCCAAGAGCUCACAUCGACGGAGUGGUUUGGCACCUCGAUGUCGGCUCGUCACAUCCUGGGGCUGGAGAAGGUCCCAAGGGUUAGGCUGUUCGCCUAUUAAAGUGGCACGCGAGCUGGGUUCAGAACGUCGUGAGACAGUUCGGUCCCUAUCUGUAGCGGGCGUUGGAAAAUUGCGGAGAGCUGACCCUAGUACGAGAGGACCGGGUCGGACGUACCUCCGGUGUACCUGUUGUCUCGCCAGAGGCACCGCAGGGUAGCCGCGUACGGAACGGAUAAGCUCUGAAAGCAUCUAAGCGCGAAGCCGACUCCAAGAUGAGUUUUCCUUAUCAGGGCCGUGGAAGAUCACCACGUCGAUAGGCCACAGGUGUAAAGGCGGUAACGUCAAAGCCGAGUGGUACUAAUUGCCCAG
rnacentral:rRNA from 1 species